UGGGGAUGACGUCAAGUCCUCAUGGCCCUUAUAGGUGGGGCUACACACGUCAUACAAUGGCUGGUACAAAGGGUUGCCAACCCGCGAGGGGAGCCAAUCCCAUAAAGCCAGUCGUAGUCCGGAUCGUAGUCUGCAACUCGACUACGUGAAGUCGGAAUCGCUAGUAAUCGUGGAUCAGAAUGUCACGGUGAAUACGUUCCCGGGUCUU
rnacentral:rRNA from 1 species